UACGUAGGCAGCAAGCGUUGUUCGGAAUUACUGGGCGUAAAGAGUGUGUAGGCGGUGCUCUAAGUUCGGUGUGAAAUCUCCUGGCUCAACUGGGAGGGUGCGCCGGAAACUGGGGUGCUGGAGCGCGGGAGAGGAAAGCGGAAUUCCUGGUGUAGCGGUGAAAUGCGUAGAUAUCAGGAGGAACACGGCGGUGUAGACGGCUUUCUGGACCGUAGCUGACGCUGAGACACGAAAGCGUGGGUAGCAAACAGG
rnacentral:rRNA from 1 species